UGUUUUUCUUUCUUCUAUCGUAUCUGUCAAAGAACCUGAUACCUUUGCAGAAGCAGCAUCCCAGAAGUGUCGGCAACCGGCCGAGGAAAUCGAUGCCUUACAGCAUAAUCUUGGACUCCAUGCGCAGUCUGAGAUAUAAAACCACCUGACCUUUCUGAGUCGCUUACUUUAGCUUCCCCUCCCACCGCCCAUGGAAAAGAAUUCCUUUAUUCUUCAGCCUUAAAAGAAAGCUUGUUGUUAUUCCUUCCCCGAGCAAACUUUCUCUGAGCCUACAGCCCGAUCCAUCUUAGUUCGAUUAGGAAGUCCACGCACAACGAGAGCGAAGUCAUGCGAACUCAGAAGCAGCAGCAGCAUUUGUUCCGUUUCCGGCUGGCCUAUAUUGCCUUCUCAUCGCGGUAUACUUGAAAUCAAUCUUUGCCUAUCCGAUGGAAAA
rnacentral:lncRNA from 1 species